AUCCCAGAAAGCCAUUCUCAGUUCGGAUUGCAGGCUGCAACUCGCCUGCAUGAAGCCGGAAUUGCUAGUAAUCGCGGAUCAGCAUGCCGCGGUGAAUACGUUCCCGGGCCUUGUACACACCGCCCGUCACACCACGAGAGUUUGUAACACCCGAAGUCGGUGGGGUAACCUUUUGGAGCAAGCCCCCUAAGUUGGGACAGAUGAUAGGGGUGAAGUCGUAACAAGGUAGCCGUAUCGGAAGGUGCGGCUGGAUCACCUCCUUUCUACGGAG
rnacentral:rRNA from 1 species